rnacentral:piRNA from 1 species
UGUGUGUAAGCCACUCAUUCUAAUUACCUAC